CAGAUGAACAAAAAUACCUUAAGAUAUGGAUUUAAGAAUUGUCUGAGCAACUUUUUGUUCAAGGUACUAUGAAAGGCAUUGAUUUCUCAGUCCAAAGCUCUGACUUAAUUUCUGAAGGUAUUUUUUCCGCGUGAUGACCAACUCUCUCAGCUUGUCUUGCACCGUGCUUUUCUGACUUUGACAAUAUUAAUCCACAACCUGCCUUUUCCCAGCUAAAUUCUACUGCCAGCCACCUGCUGGCCUACUGCCAGGUCUUAUAAAUCCAACACUUAGGUGAGUAUCAAUUAUAAAACAGGCCCUGGCACCUCCAUUCUUCAACCUGGCUCCCUGGAGAAAUUAUUUUGUAAGGUAGUUUUUAGUGUUUCGUAUUAGGCUGAUGAAGCCCAAGGGCCACUGCUAGCCACAUUUUGUUGAUUAUAACUACAUACGUUCCUUCUUAACUAAAGUCAUAUCAACAAAUAAAUGAGCAACAUGGUACUUUAAAAUACUUCCCAUAAUUAUAUGUUGUUUGAAUAAUAAAGAAAAAAAUAUAAUUUUCUCUUCCUGAAAUUCAAAUUUCAGGAUGUCAUGAAAGCCCAUGGGUCCAUUCGCUGAACUGAAUAUUUACACAGUUUUUAAACAUGUGGUGAGAACAGAAAUGAAGAAAGAGAAUAAUCAAUGAGAUGAUUUAAUUUUUAAAAAUAGAUUGAGAAGAUUAGUUCAUUAUUGCCUUUCGUUCUAAUUCCGUUACCCCAGAAUGCCAAAUAAUACUUCAAGAAUUGACUGCAAAUAACCAAUGGUGGCAAGUCAUUUCUUAACAUCAUAUCAAGGUAAAAAUGAUAUAGGAUAUCUAUUCUAUAAUAAUAAAUUUCUAACUAUAAAUAAACUCUUGCAAGAGUGUUUCAUAUUGUGUCUUUUAAAAAUAAACGAAUUUCUGAUCCAUUGCUAACUAGUUAAGCUAAAAUGGCUUUUACUUAAUAUUUUAAAAUACGGUCUUUUGCAUUCAAAUACUUCAAAGCGAUUUCUUUCCUUCAGGAUUAAAAAAAAAAAAAAAAAAAAAAAAAAAACUAUAACUCGUAUGGAACCAAGUCUCAAUUACCCACAUUUGAAAAACUCACAUUGGCAAUUCUUCAUGGAAGCAUUUAAUUCCAGUCUCACCUACCCCUGCCGCCCACUUCUGGGCUGCCCCCUGCCGCUGUCAGUUGGCAUGCAUUCAAGGAAUACAAACAUAUUUUAAUAUUAGUUCUAGCAACGCAUUAGCAAGAAGGGAAACCUCCCAGGGGAAAUUCACAUAAUGUAUUCUAAAGUCAAAUAUCAAGUGAUUUUGGAUUAUCGGUGCCACCAUAGGAUUCCAUUCAGACAGAUAAUUGAGAAUUGACUAUACUACAGUGUUCAUAAACUAUGGACCACAUGUAGUCCAUGAGAAAAAAUGAUUUCUAAGACACAAAUUAAAAUAAGGAAGCCAGACAGUGCUGUGAAAAACAGUGGGUCUUCAUAGAGAGGGAAUUAGAGCUGACAAAUGUUUUUGCUUUUUCUUCCUGCAUGAGAAUAUGAAGUUUUAAAUGAUAUGCAGCUAGAAGCAGAUGAAAUUAUAGCUCUCAGACACUUUAUAAUUCUGAAACAGAUAUUUGAUUGAUUGCAAGGUGGCAUCGCUGCUGGCAGUUUUUUGUCGGCACAUUUUGAUGAUAGUUUCUUAGGUGAACUUCAAGUACAUCAGUGACACACACUCCGUUUCAGAUACAUUGAAUGAUUUUGAAGCUAAUAAUUUAUGAGAGCUUUUGGAGCAAGUUAUUAGGUUUGAGUCAAGAGAGAUUUAUUUUGUUUAAUCCUAGGUUCCUUGUUGUGUGUUCUGUUUAUCUCAUCUGAUUUUGCUAGUAAACAAAUAUGUAAAACUUUAAUGUGGAUUUUUUCCCCUUUAUAACAAACAGUGCCUCUGCCUAAUGAAGUGUCCCAUUUGAAACACUUUUACUAGUCCGUGGUUUGUAGCCAUUUUGUUUCUUGAGUAAGAGGACAGAUAAAACAAGGCACCUCAAGUUGGGGUUCCAUCAAGAAGUAACGGAAAGAAAAAUUAAAAAUUAUUUGUCCUUAAUUAGGAGAUUAAAGGAUCACCUACCCCAGAAUUUAUUACUUCUA
rnacentral:lncRNA from 10 species